rnacentral:rRNA from 1 species
GGUGAACGCUGGCGGCGUGCUUAAGACAUGCAAGUCGAACGGCAGUCUUCGGACUGUAGUGGCGCACGGGUGAGUAACGCGUAACUGACCUACCCCAAAGUCGCGGAUAACGAUUCGAAAGAAUCGCUAAUACGUGAUGUGCUGUCAGAUUGUGUUCUGCCAGUAAAGAUUGAUUGCUUUGGGAUGGGGUUGCGUUCCAUCAGCUAGUUGGUGGGGUAAAGGCCCACCAAGGCGACGACGGAUAGCCGGCCUGAGAGGGUGGCCGGCCACAGGGGCACUGAGACACGGGUCCCACUCCUACGGGAGGCAGCAGUUAGGAAGCUUCCACAAUGGGCGAAAGCCUGAUGGAGCGACGCCGCGGGAGGGAUGAAGGUCUUCGAAUCUUAAACCUCUGAAUCAGGGACGAAAGACACUUCGGUGGGAUGACGGUACCUGAGUAAUAGCACCGGCUAACUCCGUGCCAGCAGCCGCCGUAAAAC